CUCCCUCCUUUUUUUUUUCUCUCAGUGACCAGCAUCAAACCCAUGUGGCUCUGAAGGUUCUGUUUGCCCUAAAAAGGAGAGUUUUCACAGAGCCCAUGUAUAUAAUAAAAAUCCAUUCAUUUAUUUAUGUUUUUUCUGUAAUUUUGGCUCAAGAUUGGCUGAUUCAUUUCAACUUCGUGUUGUUCCUAGGAACUAUGGUGGAAAAGCUGUUUGGAAUAGCAGCCUGAAAAAUGCCAACCUUUAGCUGUGCUUCAAUCCUCCAAAGCCUCUGCAAUCCAAAGCAGGAAGGAUGUUGCAAAAAACAAGGACAAGAACAAAGGCUGAUGAGGAUGAAGAUGAGGAGAAAAGCAACUCCUUUUUUAUCUCCAAAAUCUCCUAAUUUUGGAGAGAAACAAUUAUUUUACUUGUAAAUAACUUAUACAAGGGGGGCUAUGCAGAGGUAUGCUUUGACACAUCAGAAUUAGGUAAAAAGCCAAAAACCAGGAAGUUUCAGACCAAAUUUUUUGGAGGGUGAUGGAAGACAAGAUUUGAUGUGAAAAGAAAACACUCACACUGCCUCUGAUUUGACCCAUUUGUCUGUUAAGGCAACAUAAACUGGAUUUUAAGUAAAUUCUUGCUUUCUCAGGUUUGCUUUCCCCACCCCCCAGUUAGGAACCAGGCCAUCAUGUGAUGGGCAAAUAGGAAAUGAAAUUUCCCAGCUCCAGCAUCUGAAUCAUCCAAAUGAAUUAGAAUUGAAGGUGAUUUUGUUAUAUGUGGGGUUAAUUCUGCAUGGGAUAUUUGUUGAAGACUGAG
rnacentral:lncRNA from 1 species